rnacentral:rRNA from 1 species
GAUGAACGCUAGCGAUAGGCUUAACACAUGCAAGUCGAGGGGCAGCACAAGGUAGCUUGCUAUCUGGGUUGCGACCGGCGCACGGGUGCGUAACGCGUAUGCAACUUGCCCUAUACAGGAGGAUAACCCGUCGAAAGACGGACUAAUACUGCGUAUGCUCACAACUUGGCAUCAAGUGGUGAGGAAAGAAAUUCGGUAUAGGAUAGGCAUGCGUCCCAUUAGCUUGUUGGUGAGGUAACGGCUCACCAGGGCAACGAUGGGUAGGGGAACUGAGAGGUUUAUCCCCCACACUGGUACUGAGACACGGACCAGAAUCCUACGGGAGGCAGCAGUGAGGAAUAUUGAGCGAUGGGCGCGAGCCUGAACCAGCCAAGUCGCGUGAAGGAUGACUGUCUUAUGGAUUGUAAACUUCUUUUAUACGGGAAUAACAAGAGUCACGUGUGACUCCCUGACUGUACCGUAUGAAUAAGCAUCGGCUAACUCCGUG